AUGGAUCAUCGUCAGCCGGGUAGUUGUCAUCAGGGCGCCAAGCCGCCAACCAUGCUGGUAUGCAUGUUUCUUGCUGGACUAGGUGUGUCUAUGUUUUUCCCUUUUUGUAGGGUUGUGUCCGUUAGCUUGGUUGCUUUUCUUGCAGCCGCCGCAUUGGUGGAUGGUUCUGCUGGUGUGUCCCAUGGUGGCGAUGUUGAGGCUAAGGCGUGGGUGGGUGUGCCUGGUCUUUUCGCUCAUGGUGGCUACGCCGAGGCACGGGUUGUUGCGCCUGAUCCUGUCGCUCAUGGUGGCGAUGGUGACGUGUGUGUGUGUGUGGAUGUGCUUGCUCUUUUCGAGCAUAGUGACGUCGUUGAGUGUUACCACCAAAAGAAAAGGAUUAAUACCUCUGCAGGUGCUUAUCUAUUUGGGUUUUGGGAUUUGAUGCAUAUGUACCAUGGGUAA
rnacentral:rRNA from 1 species